ACGGGACACGUGAAACCCUGUGGGAAGCAGGAGGGACCACCCUCCAAGGCUAAAUACUACCUAGUGACCGAUAGCGUAUAGUACCGUGAGGGAAAGGUGAAAAGAACCCCGGGAGGGGAGUGAAAUAGAACCUGAAACCCUGCACUUACAAGCUGUGGAAGCACAUUUCUUGUGUGACCGCGUACUUUUUGUAGAACGGGCCAACGAGUUACGUUAAGUAGCAAGGUUAAGCACUUAAGGUGUGGAGCCGUAGCGAAAGCGAGUUUUAACUGAGCGUUCAGUUACUUGACGUAGACCCGAAACCGGGCGACCUACCCAUGAGCAGGAUGAAGCGAAAGUAAAAUUUCGUGGAGGUCCGAACCCACGAGCGUUGAAAAGCUCGGGGAUGACUUGUGGGUAGCGGUGAAAUUCCAAUCGAGCCCGGAGAUAGCUGGUUCUCCCCGAAAUAGCUUUAGGGCUAGCCUCAAGGUGAGAGAUACGGAGGUAGAGCACUGAAUGUCCUAGGGGGUAUUGCACCUACCGAAGACUAUCAAACUCCGAAUGCCGUCAUCUUAUACUUGGGAGUCAGACUGUGGGUGAUAAGAUUCAUAGUCGAAAGGGCAACAGCCCAGAUCGUCAGCUAAGGUCCCUAAAUGUAAGUUAAGUGGUAAAGGAUGUGGGAUUGCACAGACAACCAGGAUGUUGGCUUAGAAGCAGCCACUCAUUCAAAGAGUGCGUAAUAGCUCACUGGUCGAGUGAUCCUGCGCCGAAGAUUUCCGGGGCUAAAACUUACUACCGAAGCUACGGCAUCAGUAAUGAUGGGUAGGGGAGCUUCCCAUACGGGUUGAAGCAUGACCGUAAGGACAUGUGGACAGUAUGGGAGUGAGAAUGUUGGCAUGAGUAGCGAGAUGUGGGUGAGAAUCCCACAGGCCGUAAACCCAAGGUUUCCAGGGGAAGGUUCGUCCGCCCUGGGUUAGUCGGGACCUAAGCUGAGGCCGAAAGGCGUAGGUGAUGGACAACAGGUUGAUAUUCCUGUACUACCGAUAACCGUUUGAGAGAAGGGAUGACACAGUAGGAUAAGCUAAGCACACUGUUGGUUAUGUGUGCCCAAGCAUUGAGGCAGUCAAAGUAGGCAAAUCCGCUUUGAUAAUGCUGGGAUGUGAUGGGGAGCGAAAUUUAGUAGCGAAGUAGCUGAUUUCACACUGUCAAGAAAAGUCUCUAUCGAGGUUAAAGGUACCCGUACCGCAAACCGACACAGGUGGGUGAGGAGAGUAUCCUAAGGCCAGCGAGAGAACUGUUGUUAAGGAACUCGGCAAAAUGACCCCGUAACUUAGGGAUAAGGGGUGCCACCAUCAGGUGGCCGCAGAGAAUAGGCCCAAGCGACUGUUUACCAAAAACAUAGGUUUCUGCUAAGUCGCAAGACGAUGUAUAGGAGCUGACGCCUGCCCGGUGCUGGAAGGUUAAGGGGAUCUGUUAGAGCAAUCGAAGCAGUGAACUUAAGCCCCAGUAAACGGCGGCCGUAACUAUAACGGUCCUAAGGUAGCGAAAUUCCUUGUCGGGUAAGUUCCGACCCGCACGAAAGGCGUAACGAUUUGGGCACUGUCUCAACAACAGACUCGGUGAAAUUGUAAUUCCGGUGAAGAUGCCGGAUACCUGCGACAGGACGGAAAGACCCCAUGGAGCUUUACUGUAGCUUGACAUUGGGUCUUGGUACUACAUGUACAGGAUAGGUGGGAGGCUUUGAAACCAGGACGCCAGUUUUGGCGGAGCCAUCCUUGGGAUACCACCCUUGUAGUACUGGGACUCUAACCAUAGGCCAUGAAUCUGGUCUUGGGACACUGUCAGGUGGGCAGUUUGACUGGGGCGGUCGCCUCCCAAAAGGUAACGGAGGCGCUCAAAGGUUCUCUCAGUACGGUCGGAAAUCGUACGUAGAGUGUAAAGGCAAAAGAGAGCUUGAUUGCAAGACAUACAGGUCGAGCAAGGAUGAAAAUCGGACUUAGUGAUCCGGUGGUUCUGCGUGGAAGGGCCAUCGCUCAACGGAUAAAAGCUACCCUGGGGAUAACAGGCUUAUCUCCCCCAAGAGUCCACAUCGACGGGGAGGUUUGGCACCUCGAUGUCGGCUCAUCACAUCCUGGGGCUGUAGUAGGUCCCAAGGGUUGGGCUGUUCGCCCAUUAAAGUGGUACGCGAGCUGGGUUCAGAACGUCGUGAGACAGUUCGGUCCCUAUCCGUCGCAGGCGUAGGAAAUUUGAGAAGACCUGUCCUUAGUACGAGAGGACCGGGAUGGACGUACCUCUGGUGUACCAGUUGUCCUGCCAAGGGCAUGGCUGGGUAGCUAUGUACGGAAUGGAUAAGCGCUGAAAGCAUCUAAGCGCGAAGCCAACUUCAAGAUAAGAUUUCCCACCGCAAGGGUAAGACCCCAGAAAGACUAUCUGGUUGAUAGGUCGAAGGUGUAAGUGCAGCAAUGUAUUUAGCUUAUCGAUACUAAUAGGUCGAGGACUUGACCAA
rnacentral:rRNA from 1 species